GUAGCUCAGUUGGUUAAGAGCGUGAUGCUGAUAACGCCAUGGUUGCAGGUUUGAUCCAGUUGCAUAUUUCUGCAUUGCA